UUUCCCGACCAGGGAUAGAACCUGCACCCCCUGCCUUGGAAGCACAGAAUCUUAACCACUGCAUCACCAGCGAUGUCCCAGUUCUUCGAUCAAUGCAUGGAGAAAUGCAAACGCAAGCUCCACAGUCCAGGUAUCCGGGCAGGCUAUGGGCAGGGCUACUUUGUAGGGUCAAAGGGGAGAGGGCGGAGUUCUGCACAGCCGCGCUGCUCCCGGCGCCAGAGCAUACUCUGCCGCCGCCAUCUUGAGUUGAGUGUCGUGUGCAGCCCGUCUGCACACCGCCCUCCGAACUGAGGCGUCUGUGCAGCCAUUUUGCUCCAGGAACUCUGGCUCGAGGUCUGAAAGGUUUGAAACGUCAGCACGUGACUCUCUGAGUGAGUGAAACUAAGCACAGAGGAAACAGGGAAAAAAAAAAAGAUGGCGACUUACCAGACGGAGCUGUCGUCUACCUGUUCACACGCCGGUCUCCCACACUGCACUCUGCACUGCUGAACCCACGGAUGACAGGCGGUCCACGCGAAUGCAAACAUCACCUCUGAGCUAAAUGUAAAGAUACCCGAAGAGUCAGCAUGAGGGAGGACUUCCUGGUGGUAAGAAAAAAUCUCAACUCAGGGGACUCAUUUAGACAUCAGCAGCCGACGUGCCUCGGACGGAACCCUUCUUACGCAUCUAAACGUAAAAUAAAAUCAUGAGCUGCUGAAAUCACAGACUCUACAUUGGGUUAGUAACCAAAGGGAGACAAAGACCUUGAAGAGAUUGUGAAGUGACCGCUGCCUGUUUAUAAGCAUAUAACCUCGUUAAAAUGAAGUUCUGAGGCCAUUCCAGUUACCCUGACCUAAGGAAAAUCUUGCAAAAGGCUUUUCUUACACAGCACAAAAAAAACAUGUUAAUAUCUCUUCUUGAAAACAGAAAACAAAAGCCUGCAGACUGAUGAAGUGAAAUUAUCAAAGAUCACCAGGGUAAGUGAACUGCUCACCAACACAGUGUGAGAAAAUGCCCUGAUGGUCUGGUUCACUUUUUCACAGUCCUUGGACCAGAGAGGAAGCCGUGUGGUGUGGCCACCUCUGGCUUCUGAGACCAGUGUCCCUCAGAGGAGUUCUUCACGGGAAGUUAAUUAAAGAGCGGGAGGUGAAAGAAGAACGAGAGCGCACAGGGCCAACGCAGGGAGAAGAAACAGGAACACAAGGAUGCUUGCAAAGGACAGACAUUCCCGUCGGCCUACAGGCAGCUUGAUGAGGAAAUCAGGAAAAGGGUGGACGGAAAGGAACGCAUUUCUGAAGCUCAACCCCUCCCACCACCCUCCCCUGCAGGGCCAGGUAAGAACAAGCGUAAGGUUGCCCUAAGUAUUCCUUCAGUUGCUGGGCCUAAUCUCAGUGUUUCUGUGGGAUUACAGGCAUGGGCAUUCCUCUCAUGCCUGACCUCUCGAGAUGCUAUGCCUUCUCUCCAGGGCCAAAAUCCAUUUGAAAGAAAUCCAAUUCUUAAAAUAUUUGAGAAUUAAGAGAAUUACAACACAUCAAAUUCUCCCACCAGGUGUCAGGGAAAUGACCUCAAGGAAAGGGGAGAUGCCUCCGUGGUGCAGAGGACGUGGAGAUGUUAAGCGCUCUGGGUAGGCACUACAGGCAUGCUGCCGCCCAACUGAGGAGAUGCCAGCAAACCAGUCAGGACUCAGAGCAGCAGCGACAUGAUGCGGGAUAAAGCAUCCCCGGUGACCUCGAGCGAAAUAGCCUAUGUGGGAUUUAACACCAAGAUGACCAGCACUUAAUCCUGAAAUCUGACCUGAAGUAUUUCUGAGAUACUUCAACAAAGAAACUGCCAUGAACUCCCAACCCUGAACCAAGGACAGAUUUCUACCAACUUUAUGAGGGAAUUUGUCAGUUUAGGCCACAUGGGUACAAUCAUGAUGCUUUCUGAUAA